rnacentral:tRNA from 1 species
GCCCGGGUGGUGAAAUUGGUAGACACGCAGGACUUAAAAUCCUGUGGAUAGUAAUAUCUGUGCGGGUUCAAGUCCCGCCCCGGGUACAA